CAAAGGUUAAUUCCGGUGGCGGAUGGGCAUGCGUCGCAUUAGUUAGUUGGCGGUGUAACGGGCCACCAAGACGACGAUGCGUAGGGGUUCUGAGAGGAAGGUCCCCCACACUGGUACUGAGACACGGACCAGACUCCUACGGGAGGCAGCAGUGAGGAAUAUUGGUCAAUGGGCGGGAGCCUGAACCAGCCAAGUCGCGUGAGGGAUGACGGCCCUAUGGGUUGUAAACCUCUUUUGCCGGGGAGCAAAGUGCCGCACGUGUGCGGUUUGGAGAGUACCCGGAGAAAAAGCAUCGGCUAACUCCGUGCCAGCAGCCGCGGUAAUACGGAGGAUGCGAGCGUUAUCCGGAUUUAUUGGGUUUAAAGGGUGCGUAGGCGGACGCUUAAGUCAGCGGUAAAAUUGCGGGGCUCAACCUCGUCGAGCCGUUGAAACUGGGUGCCUUGAGUGGGCGAGAAGUACGCGGAAUGCGUGGUGUAGCGGUGAAAUGCAUAGAUAUCACGCAGAACUCCGAUUGCGAAGGCAGCGUACCGGCGCCCAACUGACGCUGAAGCACGAAGGCGUGGGUAUCGAACAGGAUUAGAUACCCUGGUAGUCCACGCAGUAAACGAUGAAUGCUAGUUGUCCGGGGCGAUUGAGUUCUGG
rnacentral:rRNA from 1 species